GUGCUCGCUUCGGCAGCACCGUGCUAACUGGAACCAUACAGAGGAGAUCAGCAUGGCCCCUGCACCAGGAUGACACCCAAUUCGUGAAGCGUUCCUUUUUUUU